GAUGAACGCUGGCGGCGUGCCUAAUACAUGCAAGUCGAGCGAACAGACGAGGAGCUUGCUCCUCUGACGUUAGCGGCGGACGGGUGAGUAACACGUGGAUAACCUACCUAUAAGACUGGGAUAACUUCGGGAAACCGGAGCUAAUACCGGAUAACAUGUUGAACCGCAUGGUUCAACAGUGAAAGACGGUCUUGCUGUCACUUAUAGAUGGAUCCGCGCCGCAUUAGCUAGUUGGUAAGGUAACGGCUUACCAAGGCAACGAUGCGUAGCCGACCUGAGAGGGUGAUCGGCCACACUGGAACUGAGACACGGUCCAGACUCCUACGGGAGGCAGCAGUAGGGAAUCUUCCGCAAUGGGCGAAAGCCUGACGGAGCAACGCCGCGUGAGUGAAGAAGGUCUUCGGAUCGUAAAACUCUGUUAUUAGGGAGGAACAAAUGUGUAAGUAACUAUGCACGUCUUGACGGUACCUAAUCAGAAAGCCACGGCUAACUACGUG
rnacentral:rRNA from 1 species